rnacentral:lncRNA from 1 species
CGGCUGCGGGGCAGGGCAGCAGCAGGACCCAAUAAAUAGGCCGGAGGGAAGAGUUGUCCUCUUUUAGCAGCUGGCUGAGCCUGGGGCAGAGGUAGGAGCUGGCACCUGCUGUUCAGUGAACCCGUUAGAGCCGGAGCUGCAGGAAGGCUGCUUGCCCUGCAGGACAUGCUGCCGGCGUGCGGAAAGGAAACAGCAAGACGCAGGUGACUGAUGAGAGUGGGGUGCCCGUCCCCCUGCUGACUGUCACUCCUCCAAAGAGGCACGAAAGACCGAGUAUCAAAGAACAACGCAUCUUGCAAGUCGCCUGUGACCGUGCCAGUCAUGAACUGUGGUUGAAACGAGCCAUGCUACACGUCCCUGCACAAAAGCCGAAUCUUAUCCACUUGAUACUGGUGCACGGGAGCAAGCCUGGGAAGUGGGACUUUAUUCACUGUCUUCGGGAUGAUGACUUCAGCAAUGAAGAAUAUGAAAUAAAUCAGCGGAAUGAACAAUAUAGUGACAACUUGUCAGGUUUAUACUAGCAACUUUCUACUCUUUGGAAAUAUCUAAAUAGGACUGGACGUUUAUAUGAAAUAUGGACAGAUGUGUGGUUCCAUUAGACAGGGUAAAUGCAUACAGGAUAUAAACUCUCUUCCUUUCUGUCAGUGCAUCCCACCGCCCGAGGUUAAAAACAGCCUUACUGAAUAAUUUCCCGUUAUGAGGUUUGGAAUAUGGGCCUCUCUUGGAGACAAGAUGCUGGGUGAGACGGAUGAUUAGUUAGAUCUG